UUUUCCAUCAAUUUUGAACUUAGAUAAGGUCAAUUAAUUUGAAUUUAAUUAUAAUAUCCAUAGUUAGUUAAUUCGGAUUCGGCAAAAAUUCGGUACGGGUAUAAUUCGGAUAAAAUUCCUCUUUUAAUUUUUAAAUUCGUUGAAAAAUACGGCUAAAAAACGGAUUCAUCAAUUAUUCGGAUACGUGAUUUAUACGGAUAUUAUACAUUUACCAAUUAAAAAUUCGGGAUAAAAAAUUCGGCUAUUAAAUUAAAUUCUUUUUCUCUCAAGAUUUAUGCUAUUAUU
rnacentral:lncRNA from 1 species